rnacentral:lncRNA from 1 species
GGUGGGCCUGCGCUGGAAGCUGGCGGACCGAGGGGAGAGCUGAGGGGGCCGCGGCUGGCUGCCUGGCAGUGACGCCGUCCUAAGCCCCUGCCCGCGGGGCGCUGCGCCCUCCACCUGCGGCGUCGGCGGAGCCCCACCCCCCCCACCCCCCACCGCGGCGGCGUCUGCAGGGGCGCCCCAGCAUCUCCCCCGCAGCCGCGGCAUCCCCUCGAGGAAGCACUUUGCUCUCAUCCGUGAGGGUCAAUGGGCCCCUGAACGGGCGAUCCGAGCCCACACCCCUCUGGCCGCACUGAUGGACGGGCUCAGGGGUGGGCGUGUACCCAAGCUGGGCCGCGGAGCCCUCUGGAGUUUCUGCUGGGCAGGCCGAGGGCCCGCCUGGAGCCGCUGCUGGCAGCCCUCUCGGUCACCGGGGCGGAGACAGCUGAAGGUAAAACUGGGAGGCAGGAGAGCGGAGCUGAGCAGAGAUCCCUCCUGCCAUUGAGUCUCUGGAUCCCGUCGCAGCUGAAGCCGGAGGCCCUUCUGAUCUCCCAACUGCGUCAGCCGAUGAGGAAACCGAGGUUCAGAGAGACUCAGGCGGCCAACAGCCCAAGCUGGUACGUGAAAGUCGUAUUAAGAACCUUCCAACCACAAACCCCAGUGCCUGUGUUUCACUUCCUGCCCAUCCUGAUUAAAACAGAACCCCAGGCACGUUCUAAAGCAGCGGAGACGGGAGGGAGGGCGUUCCCAACUGUGGGAAUGGCGUGUGCCAACCUGGAGAGGCGACGGAGGGAAGAUGUUCUGCUUGUGUGGAGCGGGGGCUGCAAAGCACGUGUGGGAAGCUGAGGCCGGAACAGGAAAGGCCUGGGCCCCAGGGAAAGGAGCCUGGACUGGUCGGGCCGGGGGAUGGGGGGGGACCCAGGAGGGAGCGGGGCCUGGGCGAGGCGGUCUGAUUUCCCGGCUGCCCUGUCUAAACUGACCCCUCCCGCGUGCUCCCCCUUGCCUUCCUCUCUUUGCUGUCUCCCUGAUCACUUGAUGCUGUCUAACAUACCAUUUCAUCCCAUUUGUUGGUCUUCGUUGCCUCCCUUCUAGAGUGUGAAACCCACCAGGGCAGGGAUGCUCGUCUGCUCUGUCCUCCGCCGAGCCCCCUGUGUCAGAACGGUGCCGCCCACGGACGAGCUCUCAGGUAGGAAAAUCCCAGGCAGGAGUCAGCUGGAUGGUGAAAUUUCAGUCUGAGAGAGGAAGCCCUUGGACUUCUUCCUGGAGUUCCCAGCCCCGGGCCGGAGCCUUCCACAGGGUCCCACGGGGGAUUCCAAGACCCCCACUUCCAGAUGGGGAAGGUGCAGCCCAGAGAGGGGCCGCACAGCAAGGAAAGAGGCCUCCUGGAGCCACAGGCAUGGUCCCGAGCCCCCUUCUGCCCCCUCUCCCAGACCUCAGAUUCCUGGCCUCCAAUCCAUC